GCCUUCUGGACCUAAAAUCCCUAAAGGCACUAGAUCCCAUCUCAUCUUGGAAACUAAGCAUGGUCAGCUCUGGUUAGUAUUUAGAUGGGAGAUUAUCAGUGAAUAUUAGGUGUUGUAGGCU
rnacentral:rRNA from 11 species